CAGUCGCCGCGGUAAUACGAAGGGUGCAAGCGUUACUCGGAAUUACUGGGCGUAAAGCGUGCGUAGGUGGUGGUUUAAGUCCGUUGUGAAAGCCCUGGGCUCAACCUGGGAAUUGCAGUGGAUACUGGGUCACUAGAGUGUGGUAGAGGAUAGUGGAAUUUCCGGUGUAGCAGUGAAAUGCGUAGAGAUCGGAAGGAACAUCUGUGGCGAAGGCGACUAUCUGGGCCAGCACUGACACUGAGGCACGAAAGCGUGGGGAGCAAACAGGAUUAGAUACCCCUGUAGUCCCUGUCUCUUAUAC
rnacentral:rRNA from 1 species